AUGAAAAAAAAUAUUAUAAUUGUGGGUCUCCAAUAGUUACAAUCUUUCUUCUUCCUUUUCUUUCUUUCUUGAACAACUCCACCGUAAAAUUAUUUCUCUGUACUUUAUCCCACCACACAAAUCUUUAUCUCUCACUUCCUUUUCUUUUUUACAGAUUCCUUCAUUAUUAAAUUUCAACAGUUCAAACAAUCAAUUUCAAUUAAACUCACCUUAAAUGUUAUCUCCUCCUAAAUUAAACCUGCAUCUGAGAUUUCUCCGGUGACAUGCUCCCUGACAAACUCGAGCUCAGGCUCCUUAGCUUCAUAUGCACACUAUGCUCUUCUUUCUGGCAGGAAACAAGUUGAAGAAUCAUAACAAUCAAGUUGCGUACAUAGAGUUGAGAACGUGGUUGUAAGAAGAUGGAUGGAAAAAGAAGGUGGUGGUAACAAAGUUGUUAAAGAGGGUUCUGCAUGAGAAAAUCGUUGAGAAAAGAAGUUGUACAUGUAUACACCUAUGUACACAAGUUUUCAAUGUAUAAGAUAUCAGUAAUAUGUAUGGACCACUUUCUACACUUGUAUAUGUUUGUGAAGGUUCAGAGCACACACAAUUCCAUUAUCUCAAAACACACAAACCAUAUGCAUAAAGGCAACUAUUUGUACACUUAAACAUGUGUUUUUUCGUAUCUGUUUUUGCAGCAUCAUUCAUGCUUGUCCGUUUGUACAGUGUCGUUAAUGUUUGUCCAUAUGUACAUGUUCAACUGUUAAAAAUGUGUUCAUCGUG